GACGAACGCUGGCGGCGUGCUUAACACAUGCAAGUCGAACGGAAAGGCCCUGCUUUUGUGGGGUGCUCGAGUGGCGAACGGGUGAGUAACACGUGAGUAACCUGCCCUUGACUUUGGGAUAACUUCAGGAAACUGGGGCUAAUACCGGAUAGGAGUUCCUGCUGCAUGGUGGGGGUUGGAAAGUUUCGGCGGUUGGGGAUGGACUCGCGGCUUAUCAGCUUGUUGGUGGGGUAGUGGCUUACCAAGGCUUUGACGGGUAGCCGGCCCGAGAGGGUGACCGGCCACAUUGGGACUGAGAUACGGCCCAGACUCCUACGGGAGGCAGCAGUGGGGAAUAUUGCACAAUGGGCGGAAGCCUGAUGCAGCAACGCCGCGUGCGGGAUGACGGCCUUCGGGUUGUAAACCGCUUUCGCCUGUGACGAAGCGUGAGUGACGGUAAUGGGUAAAGAAGCACCGGCUAACUACGUG
rnacentral:rRNA from 1 species